GUCUAGAGGCUUCGGCAAUGGACGAAAGUCUGACCGAGCGACGCCGCGUGUGGGAUGAAGGCCUUCGGGUUGUAAACCACUGUCAGCAGGGAAGAAUACCGGGAUGGUGAAUCUCGGGGUGACGGUACCUGCAGAGGAAGCCACGGCUAACUCCGUGCCAGCAGCCGCGGUAAUACGGAGGUGGCAAGCGUUGUUCGGAAUUACUGGGCGUAAAGGGCGCGUAGGCGGAAUGGUCCGUCCGAUGUAAAAGUGCUACCGCUUAACGGAGCAAAGCCAUCGGAUACCGCCAUUCUUGAGACUGGGAGAGGUGAGUGGAAUUGCUGGUGUAGCGGUGGAAUGUACAGAUAUCAGCAAGAACACCGGUGGCGAAGGCGGCUCACUGGCCCAGUUCUGACGCUGAGUGCGCGAAAGCGUGGGGAGCAAACGGGAUUAGAAACCCUGGUAGUCC
rnacentral:rRNA from 1 species